rnacentral:misc_RNA from 1 species
UGUCUACCCGUACGACGUCGGACGGCUAGCUCAAACAUGGUAAAAAUGCUAAACGUACGACUGGUUGCGCAGAGACCAUCUGCGCAUGAACAUGCCUCCAAUGUGCCAUGCGAAUCGAGCGCCAUUUUGUUCUCGAACGUGGUGGGAUGGUGUAGUGACCGCAAUUAUAGGCAUAAUUCGUUUUCUGCUGAAUGUAUAGCAAACUGGUGAUUGCGAUCUGGCGAUCUUUUUUCCCUGAAUUUCUGCAUGUAUAGAAUGUAGUUGCAGAUUAAAUAAUUACAUGGUUCUGCUCGAUUCAGGAAGGAUUUCAUGUCUGCAGAUAAUGUAUUACAAGAGGCUGUUGUGUGCCAGUGGACAAGCUGGUGAGAAGCUGAACACUAAUAGCUUGAAUCCUGGUGAAUGGACUGCCUGCAUAAGCGUCGUCAUGAUUUUUCCACGUGUAAUAUGAAUGCAAGCCAGUUUGCCUUAA